UACGUAGGGGGCAAGCGUUGUCCGGAAUCAUUGGGCGUAAAGCGCGCGUAGGCGGCUUGGUAAGUCGGAUGUGAAAGCCCUGGGCUCAACCUGGGAACUGCAUUCGAUACUGUCAAGCUAGAGUGUGGGAGAGGGUAGUGGAAUUCCCGGUGUAGCGGUGAAAUGCGUAGAUAUCGGGAGGAACAUCAGUGGCGAAGGCGACUGCCUGGCCCAACACUGACGCUGAGGUGCGAAAGCGUGGGUAGCAAACAGG
rnacentral:rRNA from 1 species